AAACAUAUUCAACUUUAUUGUGAAAUUCAAAUAACAUAUGACCUCAAAACGAAGAUAUAAUAUACACUAAACGAAGAUAUAAUAUACACUAAUUUACAAUAAUUUAAUCAUUGCGUUUCCAUUUAAAAUAAUCUUUAUAAUACCAGGUCAAACUCCGUCUUGUAAAAUGUUCAUUUUUAUUGUUCAAUAUCAUUAAACAUUACCAAUUGUACGACCUAUGGGGUAAGAAUCGGGGUUUAUAGUACAACUUUUUAUUUAAAAACAAUUGUUAUAUAUAAUUCACCAAAAAUUAUCGUAAUAAGAAAUCAUAUAAAUAUCUUGUUCAUUUUUGAUAAUGAACAGAACACUACAAAAUACAAUAAGCUGUUUUCAACAGUAAUUAUUAAAAACCCUGUUUUAGUUUAAAUGCACUUGAAAUGAUAACUUGCAAGCUUCAACAAGCUAUACAUAUUUGAUCAGAACUGCGCAAUCGGCAUGUUACCAAUAACUAAAAACAAUAUAGACAUUUAAAUUGUUCUUAUGAAAUAAGUUAACUGCAGUACUGGUUCAGAUAUGGAUGCUGUUAUUUUCGUCAUACUUUUACUAAUUCAAGUAAUUGCUUUGGUAGACGGUAAGAACAUAAAUAUGUGUUUAUAUGUUUAGAAUAAACAAUUAUGUGAUAUAAUUUACAAUAAGUACUAUAUUGUGUCAUAGUUCUAAAACUUUCAUCGACAACUCAUAAUCAAAA
rnacentral:lncRNA from 1 species